GAAAGGAAAAAUUAGAGAGAUUGGUAAAGGGUCUUCCCUAUCUCUAUUUUUCUUUCAGCAGAAACAAUCAAUGUAAGGGGUUCCUCCCCAAUUUUUGAAGCAAUACAAGACACUUUGUCUUCAUUUUUUUGGGUUCUAAAGGCAGUAUCAUUUGAAAUUCCGAAGCAAUCAAAGAGAUUCAUCAAGGAGCAAUUUUUGGAAGAAGUUUGUUUGGCUUGGUUUUGCUCCCAAAAGUCGACUAUUCACUUGCUGGAGGGUCUGGACGACUUUUUGUAGUUUAUUGGGGGAUAUCCGUUGCUUUACAUAUGGAACUUGCUGUUUUCCUGGAAGCUUGGGAGGCAAUUGGGGUGUCGUCGGUCAGUCAGAUUGUGAUUGAUUUGUAAUCGAAGCAAAUCAAAUAUAAAA